CAGAAACCAGCCCAUGAGUGAGAAGAAAGUACCACCAAGAGUCCAUAGAAGAGUUGUAUUAGGAUGCAGGAUGACCUUGAGGAAUAUACAUUACCUGAGACACCUAAUAGACAUUAGGAUUGAGCCUUAGAUCAUGCCUUCAGGUUUAUGAGGGCACUAAUCUGUCAUCAGCACUGGGGAAGCCUGCUGCCUGGCUCUGACUGCACGAAACUCCAAGACUUUUACUUUCUAACCACGGAUGGACAGACUUUUCUCGUCUUUAACCACAGAAGAAUCCAAAAUCCAUUCUUCUAUUUUGCAUCAACAUGAUAUGCAGUUUUUCCCUGCCCCUCUGGAGAAUAAGAAAGCCUAUUUUCUCCCUAGAAUAAGAGGCUGCUGAGGUUUUAGCCAUAUUACUUCCCAACCUUCAAGAAGAACAGCACCGGAGGGACAUCUUUGGGCCCACACUUGAGAGCAACAUGUCCAGAUUCAUGUUCUAGGUUGUUUUGUUUGUUUGUUUUGUUUUGUUUUGAUUUUUGCCACUCUCCAAAAUUAUAUGUGGUGGGAACAAAACAGGUGAGAAACUAGAAAGGCAGAGUAGCGGAAUAGUUAAGCACACGGCUUCCAGAGUCACAAUGCCUGGACGCUGCUAAAGAACUAAGAAGAACUUCCAGAAAAUCAUAACCACUAAGGGAGUACCGUUUAGCACAUAGAGGCAGGUUAAAUCUAUUGAACAGAAUUCCAAUUUAUUUACAGACCUACCACUGCUCUAAGAUGAAGCUUUAAUUUUCUCAUUUAAACCUCAUAAAACUAAAAAGCAUAUUAAGACAUUAGAGGCCAGGUUAAAAAAAAUCACAUCUAUCUAUCCUUGCCCCCAUUCAUAACAAGGAAUUUAUUAUUUUAAAGGAAUAAUGUUUUUAAUAAACAUACAUUUGCAUAAAGAUUA